rnacentral:rRNA from 1 species
GUGGGUAGUUUGACUGGGGCGGUCUCCUCCUAAAGAGUAACGGAGGAGCACGAAGGUUGGCUAAUCCUGGUCGGACAUCAGGAGGUUAGUGCAAUGGCAUAAGCCAGCUUGACUGCGAGCGUGACGGCGCGAGCAGGUGCGAAAGCAGGUCAUAGUGAUCCGGUGGUUCUGAAUGGAAGGGCCAUCGCUCAACGGAUAAAAGGUACUCCGGGGAUAACAGGCUGAUACCGCCCAAGAGUUCAUAUCGACGGCGGUGUUUGGCACCUCGAUGUCGGCUCAUCACAUCCUGGGGCUGAAGUAGGUCCCAAGGGUAUGGCUGUUCGCCAUUUAAAGUGGUACGCGAGCUGGGUUUAGAACGUCGUGAGACAGUUCGGUCCCUAUCUGCCGUGGGCGCUGGAGAACUGAGGGGGGCUGCUCCUAGUACGAGAGGACCGGAGUGGACGCAUCACUGGUGUUCGGGUUGUCAUGCCAAUGGCACUGCCCGGUAGCUAAAUGCGGAAGAGAUAAGUGCUGAAAGCAUCUAAGCACGAAACUUGCCCCGAGAUGAGUUCUCCCUGACUCCUUGAGAGUCCUGAAGGAACGUUGAAGACGACGACGUUGAUAGGCCGGGUGUGUAAGCGCAGCGAUGCGUUGAGCUAACCGGUACUAAU